rnacentral:lncRNA from 1 species
AAACAAGAAAAAAAACCCCCAAAAAGUGGUACGGGUACCAAUUUUAUCCGUGCCGUACCAAAAAUUGAGCGUAGCGUAAACGGGGCUUACAAGUGAGAGGCCAGGGCGCGGUUUAUUCUCUUUCGGAAGUUCAGACCCGCAGACGACCCAGUGUUGGACAUCCUUGCCCCGCACAUUUCAGCGAUUUCCUCUGAACAUGGUAAGCAACUCUACGGUAACCACAGCUGCACAAAAUUUCUUUACUGACAGUAGUGCGGG